AACGAACGCUGGCGGCGUGCUUAACACAUGCAAGUCGAACGGAAAGGCCUCAGCUUGCUGGGGUACUCGAGUGGCGAACGGGUGAGUAACACGUGGGUGAUCUGCCCUGCACUUUGGGAUAAGCUUGGGAAACUGGGUCUAAUACCGAAUAUGACCACUUCUUGGAUGUUGUGGUGGAAAGCUUUUGCGGUGUGGGAUGAGCCUGCGGCCUAUCAGCUUGUUGGUGGGGUAAUGGCCUACCAAGGCGGCGACGGGUAUCCGGCCUGAGAGGGUGUACGGACACAUUGGAACUGAGAUACGGCCCAGACUCCUACGGGAGGCAGCAGUGGGGAAUAUUGCACAAUGGGCGCAAGCCUGAUGCAGCGACGCCGCGUGGGGGAUGAAGGCCUUCGGGUUGUAAACUCCUUUCGCUAUCGACGAAGCCACUUGUGGUGACGGUAGGUAGAUAAGAAGCACCGGCUAACUACGUGCCAGCCGCCGCAGUAA
rnacentral:rRNA from 1 species